rnacentral:rRNA from 1 species
ACUCCUACGGGAGGCAGCAGUAGGGAAUCUUCCACAAUGGGCGCAAGCCUGAUGGAGCAACACCGCGUGAGUGAAGAAGGGUUUCGGCUCGUAAAGCUCUGUUGUUAAAGAAGAACGCGUAUGAGAGUAACUGUUCAUACGUUGACGGUAUUUAACCAGAAAGUCACGGCUAACUACGUGCCAGCAGCCGCGGUAAUACGUAGGUGGCAAGCGUUAUCCGGAUUUAUUGGGCGUAAAGAGAGUGCAGGCGGUUUUCUAAGUCUGAUGUGAAAGCCUUCGGCUUAACCGGAGAAGUGCAUCGGAAACUGGAUAACUUGAGUGCAGAAGAGGGUAGUGGAACUCCAUGUGUAGCGGUGGAAUGCGUAGAUAUAUGGAAGAACACCAGUGGCGAAGGCGGCUACCUGGUCUGCAACUGACGCUGAGACUCGAAAGCAUGGGUAGCGAACAGGAUUAGAUACCCCUGGUAGGAUAGCG